rnacentral:rRNA from 1 species
UCGAGAAUAUUCCACAAUGGGCGAAAGCCUGAUGGAGCGACGCCGCGUGCAGGAAGAAGGCCUUCGGGUUGUAAACUGCGGUAGUAGAUCAAGAACGUAAGUGACUAAUCUACGGAAAGAGGCGGGUAACUACGUGCCAGCACCAGCGGUAAUACGUAGGCCUCAAGCAUUAUCCGGAUUUAUUGGGCGUAAAGCGUGUGUAGGGGGCAUGGUGCGUUUUCUGUUAAAGCCCGCCGCCCAACGGCGGAAGUGCAGGAAAUACGACCUUGCUAGAAGAAGUUAGAGGUGCAUGGAACUCACGGUGUAGGGGUGAAAUCCGUUGAUAUCGUGGGGAACACCAAAGGCGAAGGCAGUGCACUGGGACUCUCUUGACCCUGAGACACGAAAGCGUGGGGAGCAA